rnacentral:rRNA from 1 species
UACGUAGGGGGCAAGCGUUGUCCGGAUUUACUGGGCGUAAAGAGCGUGUAGGCGGCCAAACAGGUCCGUUGUGAAAACUGGAGGCUCAACCUCCAGACGUCGACGGAAACUGUUUGGCUAGAGUCCGGAAGAGGAGAAUGGAAUUCCUGGUGUAGCGGUGAAAUGCGCAGAUAUCAGGAAGAACACCCGUGGCUAAGGCGGUUCUCUAGUACGGUACUGACGCUGAGACGCGAAAGCGUGGGGAGCGAACAGG